rnacentral:rRNA from 1 species
ACCUGGUAAAGUAAAAAGUCGUAACAAGGUUUCCGUAGGUGAACCUGCGGGAAGGAUCAUUG